CCUACGGGAGGCAGCAGUGAGGAAUAUUGGUCAAUGGCCGGAAGGCUGAACCAGCCAUGCCGCGUGAAGGUCAGUGCCCUAUGGGCGUUAAACUUCUUUUGUCCGGGAGCAAUAAUGGUCACGUUUGGCCAGACGAGAUUACCGUACGAAUAAGCAUCGGCUAACUCCGUGCCAGCAGCCGCGGUAAUACGGGGGGUGCAAGCGUUAUCCGGAAUUUGUGGGUUUAAAGGGUGCGUAGGCGGCCUGUGAAGUCAGCGGUGAAAGUCUGUGGCUCAACCAUAGAAUUGCCGUUGAAACUGGGAGGCUUGAGUAUGUUAGAGGCAGGCGGAAUGCGAGGUGUAGCGGUGAAAUGCGUAGAUAUCACGAAGAACCCCGAUUGCGAAGGCAGCCUGCCAGGCCAUGACUGACGCUGAUGCACGAAAGCGUGGGGAUCAAACAGGAUUAGAUACCCUUGUAGUC
rnacentral:rRNA from 1 species